UUAAUAUUACACCAUUGCCAUGUACGGGUUAUUAAUUACUAUACUUAUAUGUUAACAGACACAACAGACGCUCUCCGUUGUACUCAAUCAGUCAUUAAAAGGAUACCGUGCAGGAAAUUUAAGCAGUGUUGGAAAUAUCCUCCACCAUGAAAAUCGGCGCUAUCACAGUCUUCAUCUUUAUUAGUCUUGCUGAAGGAGCGAGAUUAACCCAACACUCGGACCCAACUUCAUGCACUAAGAUUGCGUACAACAAAUGUUCCAAACUCAUCGUACAGAAUUCACUACUGCACAUUUCGAGGAAUCUAUGCAGUUUUUACUUUCAUUGGAAAGACUGUGUAACAGCGAGGACUGAACUGUGUAAGUCACGUGACGAUAAUGCAUUCAAUGGUUGGUUGGACCAGCACUGCACCAUACUACGUCACAGGCUCCGAAAAGUAUGAGUGGAAUCUUCAUGGUAGACGAAAAGGAAGGAGUACUCAAACUACUGUGUGAAUCAAAUAGGAGACAUACUUUAUUCCUCUUAAUUCAGAGACUGGUCAAAGUUAACUAGUUUUUCAUAGCACAAAGAAGAAUUAGACUUAUAAUCACAAAUAUAGUAAACAUAUUGUGUGCAUGUACAAUACAUACAAUUCAUGUAUCACUAUACUGACACCUUUACCUGGAGUAAUGACAUAAUGUGGUGGCGGAUCCAGAAAAAAUUCAAAAGGUGGUUGCAACCCAACUCUGUACCUUUUCCGCACAAGAAAGUGGGUUGAAACCCCAAAAAUGACCCCCCCCCCAAAAAAAAAUCCUAAAAGAAAACCCAACCCCAGACCCUUUAAACACAUCAAUGUUCAACUCAGGGGCGGGGUUUGUAAAUCCCAAUAAAUCCGCCACUACCGUGUCUUCAUCAGACCAAGAGAUAUACUAAUAGCAUGCAUUCUUUGUAGACAGUAGAUAUUGUUUUCACAGUUGUUAGUGGAUCCAUUGAUAGAACUUUCAAUACACUGCAGUAGAAAA